rnacentral:rRNA from 1 species
UAAAAUAAUCUUAGUAGUAUAUCCCGAAAGUAUAAGAUCUAAGUGUAAUAUUAAUUAUAGAUUAAAAUUUAAAGUGCUGUAGCAUUAGUUCGUAAUAAAUAAUACCUUAGCGGUGAAACGCCUACAAUUAUACUGAUAGCUGGAUAGUUAUUAAAUAUAUUUAGUUUAUAAUAAAUUUACAAAGUGAUAAGAUUUUGUAAUAAGAAGUUAAAGUAUAGUUUAAAGUUGCUAUUAAUUAAUACUUAGUAGUGUCCACUUUUAAUAAAAUAAUUUUACAUUGUAAAUAUUCUUUAGUAAUAGCUCAUUUAAUUUAAUUAAUUUAAAAUUUGAUAAUGUAUAAAUAAGUAUAUUAAUAUAAAUUUAGUUAAAUAAACUCGGCAAAUAUUGUGUACGACUGUUUAACAAAAACAUAGCCGGUAGUUAUUACAUUAUCGGUGUGACCUGCCCGGUGAAUUUUUAACGGCCGCAGUACUAUGACUGUGCAAAGGUAGCAUAAUCAUUUGACUUUUAAUUGAAGUCUGGUAUGAAAGGAUAAACGUAUAUAAGCUGUAUCUAAGUAUAAAUUUAUUUAAUUUAUUUAUAAGGUGAAAAUACCUUAAGUAAGAAAAAUAGACGAGAAGACCCUUAGAAUUUUAAGAAAAGUAUAAAUUAAUAUAAGAUGAUUUUUGUUGGGGCAACAUUUUUUCAUGUAAUAAAAAGUCAACACUAUAACAUAACGAAAAGUUAAAUAAAGAAAAAAUUACCUUAGGGAUAACAGCAUAAUUUUAAGUAAAGAUUGUGACCUCGAUGUUGGACUAGGAACUAUUAAGGCUAAUCGUUUUAAUAUAAUAUGUUCUGUUCGAACUUUAUUUCCUA